AUGCGCUGCUCCUCAUUCUUGAAUCAAGCCCUCUCAAUUUCUCAUCUCGCCCUGUCUCCUAACUCUAUUUAUCAGCCACGCCGACCGGAAUCCCCUACAAGCACCGGCGGGCCGGCGCCACCGCACCCAAAACUCCCUGCCACACUGCAACCUGAGUUGGUGGAAGUUGGAACUUCCAUCUUGUCGAGCUGCAACCGGGCAACAAAAGAGUUGCAACAGGGCGAGCGGUUUGCGAGUCGUGUCGAGGAUGCUGGAACCGUCGACGUGAGGUGCUACCACAUGCGUUUGGUUUUGCUGGAGCCAAUAUUCUUUUUUGCUACCAUGGGUGUUUGGUUUUGCUGGAACCACCGCCAAAUUUGCAAGUUUGCUACCACUAACUUUCUGGUUUGCUGGAACGAGCUUGAUUUUUUGCUACAUCCGUGUUUUUCUACUUUUGCUGGGGCACAGUUUCCAGUUUUUAUUUCACAAGUUUUGCUACCACUGUCUUCUUGUUUUGCUGGAUCCAAUGCAUUUUUUUGCUACAAUCAGGUGGGUGGGAGCUGCAUCGUCAGCUCCUGGCUGGAACCAGCAACGCGAAUAGCUGCUACUGGAGAUUUUUGCUUCAAAGGCGAUGGGACCUAG
rnacentral:rRNA from 1 species